rnacentral:rRNA from 1 species
GAUGAACGCUGGCGGCGUGCCUAAUACAUGCAAGUCGAGCGAACAGACGAGGAGCUUGCUCCUCUGACGUUAGCGGCGGACGGGUGAGUAACACGUGGAUAACCUACCUAUAAGACUGGGAUAACUUCGGGAAACCGGAGCUAAUACCGGAUAAUAUAUUGAACCGCAUGGUUCAAUAGUGAAAGACGGUUUUGCUGUCACUUAUAGAUGGAUCCGCGCCGCAUUAGCUAGUUGGUAAGGUAACGGCUUACCAAGGCAACGAUGCGUAGCCGACCUGAGAGGGGGAUCGGCCACACUGGAACUGAGACACGGUCCAGACUCCUACGGGAGGCAGCAGUAGGGAAUCUUCCGCAAAGGGCGGAAGCCUGACGGAGCAACGCCGCGUGAGUGAUGAAGGUCUUCGGAUCGUAAAACUCUGUUAUUAGGGAAGAACAAAUGUGUAAGUAACUAUGCACGUCUUGACGGUACCUAAUCAGAAAGCCACGGCUAACUACGUG